CUUAUGCAUGCAAGUCGAGCGAAGCUUUUCAGUAGUUUACUACAGAAAAUGAUUGAGCGGCGAACGGGUGAGUAACGCGUGAGCAAUCUACCUUAGUUACAGGGAUAGCCCGAGGAAACUCGGAUUAAUACCUGAUAUUCUUUACAUUUCGCAUGAAAUCAAAAGGAAAGGUCAGCCGAACUAAGAUGAGCUCGCGUUCUAUCAGCUAGUUGGUGAGGUAAAAGCUCACCAAGGCAACGACGGAUAGCUGGUCUGAGAGGACGAUCAGCCACACUGGGACUGAGACACGGCCCAGACUCCUACGGGAGGCUGCAGCAGGGAAUAUUGCGCAAUGAGCGAAAGCUUGACGCAGCGACACCGCGUGUGGGAUGACGGAUCUAGGUUUGUAAACCACUUUCAGGAGGGAAGAAAAUGACGGUACCUCCACAAGAAGCCCCGGCCAACUACGUGCCAGCAGCCGCGGUAAUACGUAGGGGGCGAGCGUCGUCCGGAUUUAUUGGGCGUAAAGAGCUC
rnacentral:rRNA from 1 species